GAAACCCACUUUAUAAUUUUUCAAACACAAAAUUAAGACAUGGCUAUAGAGUCAUUUGCUUUAAAUAUAGCCGAAAAAGCAUUGGAAAAGCUAGCUUAUAAUGCUUACAAAGAGAUCUGUUUUGCAUGGGGUUUUGAAGGGGAAGUGAAAAAGCUUGAGGAUAUCUUGUCAACUAUAGAAGCUGUGCUAUUGGAUGUAGAGGAGAAGCAGGCAAAGGACCGCGAGUUGCGCCUUUGGUUGGCUAAGCUUAAAGACGCCCUUUAUGAUGCUGAAGAUGUUCUUGAUGAAUUAGAGUGAGAGACAAAGAGAAGGGAAGUGCUUAAAUUAUAUGGAAGCACCAGAAAAAAGAAAACUAGAGUGUCCAUAUAUGGGAAGUUAUGCUGCCUCUACAUGCUUAUGAGUUUUUU